UACGUAGGCAGCAAGCGUUGUUCGGAGUUACUGGGCGUAAAGAGUGCGUAGGUGGUGCCCUAAGUCUGUUGUGAAAUCUCCCGGCUUAACUGGGAGGGUGCGGUGGAAACUGGGGUGCUUGAGUGUGGGAGAGGUAAGCGGAAUUCCUGGUGUAGCGGUGAAAUGCGUAGAUAUCAGGAGGAACACCGGUGGUGUAGACGGCUUACUGGACCACGACUGACACUGAAAAGCGAAAGCCAGGGGAGCAAACGGG
rnacentral:rRNA from 1 species